ACGCUUACCAUGCAGUCGAGGGGCAGCAUUUUAGUUUGCUUGCAAACUGAAGAUGGCGACCGGCGCACGGGUGAGUAACACGUAUCCAACCUGCCGAUAACUCCGGAAUAGCCUUUCGAAAGAAAGAUUAAUACCGGAUAGCAUACGAAUAUCGCAUGAUAUUUUUAUUAAAGAAUUUCGGUUAUCGAUGGGGAUGCGUUCCAUUAGUUUGUUGGCGGGGUAACGGCCCACCAAGACUACGAUGGAUAGGGGUUCUGAGAGGAAGGUCCCCCACAUUGGAACUGAGACACGGUCCAAACUCCUACGGGAGGCAGCAGUGAGGAAUAUUGGUCAAUGGGCGAGAGCCUGAACCAGCCAAGUAGCGUGAAGGAUGAAGGCUCUAUGGGUCGUAAACUUCUUUUAUAUGGGAAUAAAGUUUUCCACGUGUGGAAUUUUGUAUGUACCAUAUGAAUAAGGAUCGGCUAACUCCGUGCCAGCAGCCGCGGUAAUACGGAGGAUCCGAGCGUUAUCCGGAUUUAUUGGGUUUAAAGGGAGCGUAGGUGGAUUGUUAAGUCAGUUGUGAAAGUUUGCGGCUCAACCGUAAAAUUGCAGUUGAAACUGGCAGUCUUGAGUACAGUAGAGGUGGGCGGAAUUCGUGGUGUAGCGGUGAAAUGCUUAGAUAUCACGAAGAACUCCGAUUGCGAAGGCAGCUCACUAGACUGUCACUGACACUGAUGCUCGAAAGUGUGGGUAUCAAACAGGAUUAGAUACCCUGGUAGUCCACACAGUAAACGAUGAAUACUCGCUGUUUGCGAUAUACAGUAAGCGGCCAAGCGAAAGCAUUAAGUAUUCCACCUGGGGAGUACGCCGGCAACGGUGAAACUCAAAGGAAUUGACGGGGGCCCGCACAAGCGGAGGAACAUGUGGUUUAAUUCGAUGAUACGCGAGGAACCUUACCCGGGCUUAAAUUGCAACAGAAUAUAUUGGAAACAGUAUAGCCGUAAGGCUGUUGUGAAGGUGCUGCAUGGUUGUCGUCAGCUCGUGCCGUGAGGUGUCGGCUUAAGUGCCAUAACGAGCGCAACCCUUAUCUUUAGUUACUAACAGGUCAUGCUGAGGACUCUAGAGAGACUGCCGUCGUAAGAUGUGAGGAAGGUGGGGAUGACGUCAAAUCAGCACGGCCCUUACGUCCGGGGCUACACACGUGUUACAAUGGGGGGUACAGAAGGCGGCUACCUGGUGACAGGAUGCUAAUCCCAAAAACCUCUCUCAGUUCGGAUCGAAGUCUGCAACCCGACUUCGUGAAGCUGGAUUCGCUAGUAAUCGCGCAUCAGCCAUGGCGCGGUGAAUACGUUCCCGGGCCUUGUACACACCGCCCGUCAAGCCAUGAAAGCCGGGGGUACCUGAAGUACGUAACCGCAAGGAGCGUCCUAGGGAGUAU
rnacentral:rRNA from 1 species